GACGGAGGGUGCUAGCGUUGUUCGGAAUCACUGGGCGUAAAGGGCGCGUAGGCGGCCUUGCAAGUCGGUUGGUGAAAGCCCGGGGCUCAACCCCGGAGGUGCGGCCGAGACUGCAGGGCUGGAGGCCGGAAGAGGAGGGUGGAAUACCCAGUGUAGAGGUGAAAUUCGUAGAUAUUGGGAGGAACACCAGUGGCGAAGGCGGCUACCUGGACCGGUUCUGACGCCGAGGCGCGAAAGCGUGGGUAGCAAACAGG
rnacentral:rRNA from 1 species